CUAGCUUGCUAGGUGGAUUAGUGGCGCACGGGUGAGUAACGCAUAGAUGACAUGCCCUUUAGUUUGGGAUAGCCACUAGAAAUGGUGAUUAAUACCAAAUACCACCCUACGGGGGAAAGAUUUAUCGCUAAAGGAUUGGUCUAUGUCCUAUCAGCUUGUUGGCGCGGUAAGGGCCCACCAAGGCAAUGACGGGUAUCCGGCCUGAGAGGGUGAACGGACACACUGGAACUGAGACACGGUCCAGAC
rnacentral:rRNA from 1 species